AUUUAUCUAGAUGUGGAGUCCUUUGGGAAUGAGCAUAGCAGGCUUGUUCCUGCCCAGCAUCUUGGAAGAUCUCGGACUAGUGCUCCCUGCAGAUGAUUGGGACCUAAGAAACAGAGCCCUGCAGAAGGACUGGCAAGACCACAUGUCCCGGGGUGGCCAGUGUUUCCAGCAGUGACACUUGGGAUUGAAACCAACCUUUGCAGAGCGAGAGACCCCACAGUACCAGCUGUGCCACUGACUGGGAAGUGCCCAGCCUUGGCCCUAGAGUGGGAAAAUGGCCUGGACAUGAAAUGUGUGGGGACCUGACACCUGUGCUGGCCCCUGCAGCAGAGGCAGAGGCCCAGGCAGGCGGGGACCUGCUUUUCCCAGGGC
rnacentral:lncRNA from 1 species